GAUGAACGCUGGCGGCGUGCCUAAUACAUGCAAGUAGAACGCUGAAGCUUGGUGCUUGCACCGAGCGGAUGAGUUGCGAACGGGUGAGUAACGCGUAGGUAACCUGCCUCUUAGCGGGGGAUAACUAUUGGAAACGAUAGCUAAUACCGCAUAAAAGUCGAUAUCGCAUGACAUUGAUUUGAAAGGUGCAAAUGCAUCACUAAGAGAUGGACCUGCGUUGUAUUAGCUAGUUGGUGAGGUAACGGCUCACCAAGGCGACGAUACAUAGCCGACCUGAGAGGGUGAUCGGCCACACUGGGACUGAGACACGGCCCAGACUCCUACGGGAGGCAGCAGUAGGGAAUCUUCGGCAAUGGGGGCAACCCUGACCGAGCAACGCCGCGUGAGUGAAGAAGGUUUUCGGAUCGUAAAGCUCUGUUGUAAGAGAAGAACGAGUGUGAGAGUGGAAAGUUCACACUGUGACGGUAACUUACCAGAAAGAGACGGCUAACUACGUG
rnacentral:rRNA from 1 species